GACGAACGCUGGCGGCGUGCUUAACACAUGCAAGUCGAACGGUGAAGCGCCUUCCUUUUUGGUGGGUGUGGAUGAGUGGCGAACGGGUGAGUAACACGUGAGUAACCUGCCCCCUUCUUCUGGAUAACCGCAUGAAAGUGUGGCUAAUACGGGAUAUUCUGGGUCUGUCGCAUGAUGGGUCUGGGAAAGAUAUUGUUUCGGGGGGGGAUGGGCUCGCGGCCUAUCAGCUUGUUGGGGGGGUGAUGGCCUACCAAGGCGGUGACGGGUGGCCGGCCUGAGAGGGUGGACGGUCACACUGGGACUGAGACACGGCCCAGACUCCUACGGGAGGCAGCAGUGGGGAAUAUUGCACAAUGGGCGCAAGCCUGAUGCAGCGACGCCGCGUGAGGGAUGGAGGCCUGCGGGUUGUGAACCUCUUUCGCCAGUGAAGCAGGCCUGCCUCGUUUGUGGGUGGGUUGACGGUAGCUGGAUAAGAAGCGCCGGCUAACUACGUG
rnacentral:rRNA from 1 species